UACGGGCUGAACUGCAUCCCCCAAAAUUAGUAUGUUGAAGUCUUAAUCCCAAGCACAUCACAAAAUGACUAUGUUUGGAGAGAGGGCCUUGAAAGUGAUAACUAAGGUGAAAUGAAGUCCUAUAAGUAGGCCCUAAUCCAAUCUAACUGAUGUUCUUAUAAGAAGAGAAGAUUAGAACAUAGACAACCCUGACUGAGGACAUAGAAAGGCGGCGGCCACUUGCAAACCAAGGAAGGAGGCCUCUGAAAAGUUCAAACCUUUCAGGACCUUGAUCAUGGACUUCUAGCCUCCAGAACUGUGAAAAAAUUAAUCCAUGUUCUUUUUUUAUGCUUUAAGUUCUGGGAUACAUUCCUUAAUAUAAAGACAUACUUCCUUGGUAUUUUCUGUCUUUCUUAUUCACUGGAACAGAGUUUCCCAUCAAGUGUGUGUUCUGUGAGCAUAAGUUCUGUGAGAGGCUCUGUGGGGACAAAGUUUAACUUCAUAAUCAAAUAAUUUGGAAAGCAUAGGGUAAGUAUAGCCUCUGGAAAAUCAUAUUUUACGUUGACAAAUGAUAAAAAGCUUUAUUUUUAUCUUUUCACAGUAAAAAGUUAACUUAGUUUAACACAUUUUUUUUUUCCAAAGUCUCUUGGCUAUAGAUAUUAUCAUUUUUGGAAUGUGUACUGACAUCUUCCAGAACUUGUAUUCCUUGGAAUUCACUUGGGUCAAGGCAAACAUAAUACCUUGAUUUGGAAACCACUUGCAGCUAUACUGUACAGCAGCUGAGAGAAGUAUUUUCUUUUACAUGCACUAAGGCUAGAAUGAAAAUAGUUAUUUUGAGGUGCCCUGUGGUUGAAUGGUCUUUUCCACAGAGUGUUGGAUCUUUUUCUUUCAUCUCCUUGAGCACCAAUCCUUCUAGCUUUGCCAAACUCAGACUCAUUAUGAGUACCCAUGAUGCAAUUAAAAUGCAGUUUUAAAUUAAAAUGGUACUUUAACGGAUAAUGGUACAGGUACCUUAUCCAAUAGUGUUGCUCAUGGAGUUGAGAAUAAUUUUUUCAUCUGUCUCACUAGCAGUUAAACCAGACCAUUUAUCCACAACUAUGACAGCAUAAUUUCCAGGUCCUAUUUUACUCAUGAAUUGCUGGAAGAUGUGUUCCAAAAGAGAGUGUAUCCUAGCAAUUAAAUAAAUGAUAGAUUGUUUCUGUGAAUUUACUGAAAUUAGGGAUAAUAAAUUCAGCAAAGCUUUUAUCAACAAAAUGUAACUGAUUAGAACAAUCAAUUACCUAGAUUUUUUUCCUUCUGAAAUUAUACUUAGGGGAAUCAGAGACCGAAUAUAACAAAAUAAAUUGAUAUCAGGAAAAUCAACUUCAGAAAAUUAAUGUUCAGUUCAGGUACACCCAAAUUUUUAAUAUUUUUUACCUGUAGAACGGUGGCAUAAAACUAGAAUAGAAUCAUUUUUAUUAAUGAUAAUGUAAUAUAAAAACAGCAUUUCUUAAAUACUUGCUAUAAGUCAAGUACUAUUCUGAGUACUCUACAUAUAUUUAAUUCUCACAAUGAAUAUAUGAGGUAUAUGCUAUUACAUUUAUUGAACACAAUGAGAAACUAAAGGUUAGAGAUAUAAGGUAACUUGCCCAAGGUCACAUACUUUAUAAGUAGUAAAGACUAGAAUUUUAAUCCAGGCAUCCUGACAUGAAGAUGCAUGACCCAUUUAGAACUAGUAUUAGUUCAUAUUGUUAAGUCAAUAGGAACAACUGGAUUAAUUAUACAAUACUUUCAUACGACUGGUAGGUUCUUGAAAUCAAGCAUGCAUAAUUUCUAAUUUUUAUGCACAGACCAGAUCCCAGGAAUUGACAUUUUUAACAAGCACAACCCCUCUUCCUCACUCUCAGUAUUUUAUUGCAGGUAGUUCACAGUCAGUACUUUGAGAAACACUUGUAAAGUAAUGUAAGUUCUGAGAGAUUGAAGAACACAGAAGGCAAAUAUUUUAAGAAUUUGAAAGCUCUAAUUAAAAUGUUUACACUUUGCAGUCUCACUUUAUCUGCUCUUUUAAAUAUUACUUCCCUCCUUCUAUAAUAUCAUAGAUAUAUAUUAAGUGCUUAAUUUGUGUCUCAUACUCUUAUAGCUAGAGACAUCUUUAUAAGUGCAUAAAGUUUAAAAUAAUAAUUUAUAUUAGGCUACAUUAAGUCAAGUAUGCAUAGUUAAGUUCCUAGGGUAAUCACUGAAGGAAUAGUUUCAAAAUGCUAAUGGAGAGAAAAUAUGAAUAGUAAAAUAGUUAUUUGACCUAAAGAUAGCAAGAAAAGAUAGUAACGAGAAUAUAAAAUAGAUGGAUGAAAUAGAAAAUAACUAUAUCUAUAAUAACAUUAAAUGUAAAUUGAGUAAAUAAUCCAAUUAAGACCUAGAAUAUCAGAAUCGAACUAUAUGACGAUGAGUGCAUCUUAAAUAGAAAGACACAGAAAAGUUGAAAGUAAAAUGUAAAAGGUAUAUCAUGCAAGUAGUACUUACCAAAAAUAUUUGGCUUAGCUAUAUUGACAUUAGAAAAAGUAGAUUCUUAUGACAAUUUGUAUUAGUAGCUAAAGGGAUUUACAUUUCAAAAUGAUAAAAAGGUCAGUCUCCUAGGAACAUAAAUCCCAAAUCUUUAUCCACCAAUAGUGUAAUUAUUAAAUACAUACAGUAAAAAAUUAUUAAAUACAUACAGUAAAAAAUUGAUAUAGCUAAACAUUUUAAUAGAAAAAUCUAAAACUAAAAAUUUAGUAGAAAAAUUAUAUAACUAAACAUUUUAAUAGAAAAAUCUACAAUCAUAAUAAAAGACCUUAACACAUCUCUUGUGAAGUUACUUUUAAAAAGUAAACAAAAAUUCUCAAAGGAUAGAGAAAAUCUUAGAAACACAAUUAACCAACUUGACUGAAUAAAUAUAUGUAGACUGUUUCACCCAACAAUGAUAGAAUCCACAUUAUUUUAAUUGCAGAUGAAACAUUUUAAAAAUUAAUAAGAUCCUGGGUCAUAUAGUAAAUAUUGACGUAUUUCAAAGCCUUGAAUAAUUUUUAGUUUUUCUAACUGGAAUAAAUUUAUGUUAAAAAUUAGUAACUGAAAGAUGAUUAGGACAUUUCCAACCCUUGGAAACUAGACACUUUUAAAUCCAGGAAUCAAAAAAUAAAUUAUAAUGGAGAUUACAGACCAAGCACCAUGGCUCAUGCCUGUGCUUUGGGAAGUCGAGGUGACAGGAUCACUUGAGGCCAGGAGUUUGAGACUAGCCUGAGCAACAUAGCAAAAUCCUAUCUGUACACACAGAAAAAGUUAGGUGAGUGUGGUGGUGCAUGUCUAUAGUUCUAGCUACUCACGAGUCUUAGGUAGGAGGAUUGCAUGAGCCCAAGAGUUAGAGGCUGCAAUGAGCUGAUUAUGCCACUGCACACCUGCCUGGGAACAGAGUGAGACCCGGUCUCUCUUAAAAAAAAAAAAGAAAAAGAAAAAGAAAAUACUUUUAAUUAAAUGAUAGUUGAGAUAUUAUAUGUGAAAAUUAAUGGUAUUCAGCUAAAGCAGUGUUUAGAUACAAAUUUAAAGUCUAGGAUCUAUUUAUUAGAAAAAAUAAGAGCUAAAAGAGGACAAUCUAAGCUUCCUUUUCAAGACACACAAAAUACAGCAAAACAAACUGAAGACUAGCAGAAGGAAAUAAUAAAGAUGAGAUAAUAAAUCAAUAAUAUAAAACACAAACAAAUAAUGGAGGAAAUAAAGGUUUUUUAUGGGCAACGAUUUUGGCCGAUUAAUGAUGCUCACACAUUCUUUGACACUCCUCUUAUGGAGAGGUGCACUUUGUGUCUGCUGUCCUUAAAUCUGGUGAGCUCUGUGACUAUUUUGAAUAAUUAAAUAUGGCAGACAUGUGCCAUUCUCUCUGGAUCUAGGCUUUAAGAAACUGUCAGUUUCCACUUCCUGUCUCUAGGAACCUGCACUUACAGCCCUGAGAUAUCAUGUCAGACAUCUGAUUUACACGUAAGUGUUUCAGACGACUAUUUCAACUAAUUCCUGCCUGCCAGUUAUCCCUGCCAAGAUGUCUGGCAUAUGAGUGAAGCUGAUAUGGAUCCUUCCAGCUGGAGCAAACCAGCUGGCCGCUGAAUAGCACCAACUGAUCUCAGUCAGUACCUCAAAAGAGUAGAAGAAUCAUCCAGCUGAGCCCUGCCCCAAUUCCUACCCACCAAAUCAUAAGAUAUAAAAAAGUUUGUUAUUCUAAAUUGAAAGGUUUUAGAUUAUUUGUUAUGCAGCAAUAGAUAGCGAGAACAAAUACAUAUAAUUAAAUUUGACAAUUUUCAAUUUUAUGUUGUUUUAAAUGUUCUAUUAUGAAGUAAUUUUAGAUUUCCAAAAAAAGUUAUAAGAAUUUUACAAAAUAUUUCCAUAUUCAUAUAGAUUUUUCAAAUGAUAUUUUUCCACCUUUGAUUUCUCUAUCUACCCAUCAACUGUCCAUUUUUGAGUAUUUGAGAGUAAGUAGCUGACAUUAUUCAUUACCACUAAUUACCUCACAUACCUCAGGGUAUAUUUCUUUAAAACAAAGAUAUUCCCUCAUAUAACUGCAGGGCACUUUUUGAAAUCAAGAGAGCAUCAUUGAUUUAGUACUGUUAUCUAUAUAUAGUACUAUACAUAGGCCUUGUUCAGAUGACACCAUUUGCCCUAAUCAAGUACUUUAUAGUAAAAGGUGAUCCUUUUGCAAUCAGUUGUGUCUCCUGAGUCUCUUUUAAUCUGGGACAGUUCCAGUCUUCGUCUUUUAUAACAUGAUAACUCUCAAGAAUACAGUCAACUUAUGUUUUUAAUUAAUGAUUCUUGAUGUUUAUCUACUGUUUCCUCAUGAAUAAUUCAGGUUAUGUCUCAAAAAAGAAACAAUACUACAGAAGUAACGUACUAUUCCCAGUGUGUCAUAUCAGAAGGCACUUAAUGUUGUCUUAUGCUAUUAUUGAUAAUGUUAACUUUAAUCACUUGGUAAAGGUGGUGUCUGCAAAGUUUAUCCACUUUCAGGUUGCUAUUUUUCACUUUGUAACUAAUAGAUAUCUUGUGAUAGGAUACUUUGAGGCCAGCUAGGUAAAUGUCUUAUUUCUCAUUAAACGUCCCCUCACUAGUUUUGGCAAAUGUUUUUAUGUCACUUCAAAAUUCCUAUGUAGAAAUCCUAACUCCCAAUAUGAUGGUAUUAGAAGAUAGGGCAUUUGUUAGGUGAUUAGGUCAUGAGAGUGGAGACCUCAUGAAUGGAAUUAGUGCCCUUAUAGCAGAGACUCUGGAGCACUCCCUUGCCCCUUGAGGACACAUAAGACAUUUGAGGACACAAUGAGAUAUCCAUCUAUGAACCCAGGAGCAGGCCCUCAGAAAAUGCUGAAUUUGCCUGCAGCUUGAUCUUGGCCUUCUCAGCCUCAAAAACUGCAAGAAAUAAAUUUCUGUUGUUCUUAGAGUCCACCUAGUUUAUGGUAUUUUGUUAUAGCAGCCUGAACAAACUGAGACAAUUGGUGAUUUUUGUCUCACUCCUUUAUCAUUUUGAUGGUUGCCAAAUUAUGAUUUUCCAAUUGUAUCAUUCUUUAUACAUCUAAUACUACAUUGUACUAUAAGAAAGAACAUUUCUUCAUAAUUGGUUGAUUACUUAAUUAAUAUUUGCAUGGACUCAGGUACUCCUAUUUAAUGGGUUGUGAUUUCUUAUGGUCAUUAUAUUGAUGCUCAAAUUGUUCCAGAUUUAACUAGUGGGAGCUCUUUCAAAAUACCUCUUAGGAUUUUGUAACGUGUCCUCAUUAUUAUUUAAGUAUGUCUUUACUUUCUUGCAUUACAGCAUUACAAGAUGUUUCAUUCACAGGCUUUGAAGUUCGUAGCACAGAACUUCUUGCCCUUUGAUGUUACCCAUUUAUGAUACCCUAUGUCCGACAUUUUGUCUCUACACAGACACCAGAAUGCUUACUUGACUUUAUCGCCACCAGAUUCUUGAGCCUCUUCUAUGAUUCCAGGACCCCUGAUUGGAUGUGCUCUAUUUCCUCUAUUUUUAAACCUGUCAGAUAUUAUCUUUGCUUUUCUUAACUUACCACUCUAUAACAUGGGGUAUGAUCCUGUACCCUGUGUGCCUUUGAUAAGUAUUGGUGGACUGAUGGUCAUGCACAGAAGAGCUUGCCGCACUAUAACCCUCAGGAAGAACAGCAAGCUAAAACAUAUGACCUAACUUCUACAGUUUUUUAGCAUCACAAGAACAUGCAGGGCACAUUAUUUUGAAUGAGGACACUCAGACCAUUAAAUGUCAAAGUAGCCUAAUUGUUAACGGGACACAUGUAGUGAGAAAAAUGUGUUUGUACUUGUUGAACAGAAGACAAAUGUAGCCGAAAGUAUUUAAUAUUGAAAUACAGCUUAAUCAGGUGCUUUAAACAAUUAAGCCAUAUAAUUUAUUAAAGCAUGGCUCUGAGUUUAAGUAUCAACACUCUUCCUCUCCCAUUCUGUUCAUCCUUUGGAAGCCUACCUUCCUAUCCCCAUUUUGUUUAGUCACCUUUGGCUUGAAGUUGACCAGUAUUCAGUGGCUAGUGGCUUCUAUCUUAUGGCAAGAGAAGGAAAAGAGAUGAGAAGUAAAAGACAAAAAUAAUAGAGAAAAUAUUUAAAGGAUUUGAAGCAAAGCAUCUGAGGAUAUAGGUACUGUUUAGCAAAUCUGAAUAUAUUGCAACAUUAUUGCAAGGAAGGAGAGAUAUGUUAGGGAAUUUCAGCACUAAAGAUGGUCUACUUUUAGCAGACACAUAAAGAUAAUUUCAUUUGAAUUUUUAAAUUUCCUUUGGCAUACAAUAUGUUCUUUGCUAAGAGAAAAUACCUUUCAUAUGUCAUUCUAGGCAUUCUUCAACACAAAGCAGGACAAGAUGUAUUUUAAGGUAAAGAGUACAGACACUGGAAUCAGUAGGAGUUGCUGUUUCCAUUCAUUAGUUUUGAGACCUUGAGCAAGACUAUGAAUGUCAGUUUCCUCAUGUUAAAACAGGGAUGAUAAUACUUAUUUUGUUAUGUGCUAUAAAGCAGAGGUCUCCAACCCCCGGGGCCAUGGACUGGUACAGGUCUGUGGCCUGUUGGGAACUGGGCCACACAGCAGGAGGUGAGUGAAGCUUCAUCUGUAUUUACAGCCACUCCUCAUCACUCGCAUUACCACCUGAGCUCUAUCGCCUGUCACAUCAGCAGCAUUAGGUUCUCACAGGAGCACAAACCCUAUGGUGAACUGCUCAUGUGAAGGAUCUAGCUUAUGUUCUCCUUGUGAGAAUCUAAUGCCUGAUGAUCUGUCCCCAUCUCCCAUCGCCCCCAGAUGGGAGCAUCUAGUUGCAAGAAAAGAAGCUCAGGGCUCCCACUGAAUCUACAUU
rnacentral:lncRNA from 10 species